rnacentral:rRNA from 1 species
UACGUAGGUGGCAAGCGUUGUCCGGAUUUAUUGGGUUUAAAGGGUGCGUAGGCGGCUUUGUAAGUCAGUGGUGAAAUAUGGCAGCUCAACUGUCAAGGUGCCAUUGAUACUGCAGAGCUUGAGUACAGAUGAGGUAGGCGGAAUUGACGGUGUAGCGGUGAAAUGCUUAGAUAUCGUCAAGAACACCUAUAGCGAAGGCAGCUUACUAGGCUGUAACUGACGCUGGGGCACGAAAGUGUGGGGAUCAAACAGG